AGUGAACGCUGGCGGUAGGCCUAACACAUGCAAGUCGAACGGCAGCACAGUAAGAGCUUGCUCUUACGGGUGGCGAGUGGCGGACGGGUGAGGAAUACAUCGGAAUCUACUUUUUCGUGGGGGAUAACGUAGGGAAACUUACGCUAAUACCGCAUACGACCUACGGGUGAAAGCAGGGGAUCUUCGGACCUUGCGCUAUUGAAUGAGCUGAUGUCGGAUUAGCUAGUUGGCGGGGUAAAGGCCCACCAAGGCGACGAUCCGUAGCUGGUCUGAGAGGAUGAUCAGCCACACUGGAACUGAGACACGGUCCAGACUCCUACGGGAGGCAGCAGUGGGGAAUAUUGGACAAUGGGCGCAAGCCUGAUCCAGCCAUACCGCGUGGGUGAAGAAGGCCUUCGGGUUGUAAAGCCCUUUUGUUGGGAAAGAAAAGCAGCAGGUUAAUACCCCGCUGUUCUGACGGUACCCAAAGAAUAAGCACCGGCUAACUUCGUG
rnacentral:rRNA from 1 species